rnacentral:rRNA from 1 species
CAGCCGCCGCGGUAAUACGAAGGGGGCUAGCGUUGUUCGGAAUCACUGGGCGUAAAGGGAGCGUAGGCGGCGUGGUAAGUCAGAUGUGAAAUCCCGGGGCUCAACCCCGGAACUGCAUCCGAUACUGCCAUGCUAGAGGAUUGGAGAGGUAGCUGGAAUUCUUGGUGUAGCAGUGAAAUGCGUGGAGAUCAAGAGGAACACUCGUGGCGAAAGCGAGCUACUGGACAAUAACUGACGCUGAGGCUCGAAGGCCAGGGUAGCGAAAGGGAUUAGAUACCCGUGUAGUCCCUGUCUCUUAUAA